GUUGCCCUUUUCUUGUGGCAACAGGUCACAAAUCUUGCUGCUCUCUCUCUCUCUCUCUCUCUCAGGAGUGCACAGAUGGUUAUGAGUGGGCUGUUCAGAGUCAGCACUGUAAAGAAGGCUGCCGGUGGGAGAUGAAGUGUUUUAACCACUAUAGUGGCUACCUGUGUCUCCCACGCUCUGCCUCUGUCAUCACCGCCCCUGAACCCUCCAGCCGGUCAGUGGCCACCCUGCCUGUGGAGUCCUUCGAGGCCUUGAGAUUGAGUCAUCUGUGGAUCUGUUGGGGCGGUAUGCAAAUUGGAGUGGGUCCAGGCUGUCUGAGAUGAUGGUGUGGAUGAAACGAACAACAUCAGUGUGAUGAUGGUCCAGGCCCAUGCUGUGACCGGCCACGAAGAGUACAACCUGGAGCUGGUGUGUGUCAACCCCCACAUGAUCUAUCAGACCAGCUCUGCCCUACGACUGUCUGUCUUUGUAAAACCAUCUGAGGAGACAGAUGGAGCAAAGAGAAGGAAACGGAACUAGAGAGUGGGAGACAGAUGUGAGAUGAGAAUAACUGUUAAGGGCAUGAGAUGGGAACAUUUCUCAGACACAUUACUACUAUACAUGCAUCUUAAAGAAAUCUGCCCGGGGCAAAGCAAGUUGUAAAACCAUUCUUCCAUAAUUCUGUGAGUCACCACAAACACACAUGCUCAUGCACACGCAUGCAGACCAGUGGUGGCUGGUGACGCUUUAAAUCGGAGGACGGGCUCAUUUGUAAUGGCUGGAAUGGAAUAAAUGGAACAUAUCAAACACGUUUUAAUACUGAACGGUUUAUUCCGUGCCAGACAUUACUAUAUGUUGUCCUCGUUCGCCAGCCUCCUCUGACACACGCACGCAUGGUACACUGGCACACACUGGAAUUUAGCCUCUGCAGUGUGCAUCAUAUUUUCAAUAGUUUCUUGCUGCACAAAAGACUAGCCAAGAGGGUCCAUUAUCUUGUUACCAAGGCAACUGAUAAAAACAUCCAUUCAAAGCUACCUUUUCAACCCAUGUCACACUAUGUUAUUUUUCUCUCCAUCAGGGUCGUUCUCCUGCUCUCCUCUCAUCCUAACUGUUCUCCAGAUAGUUCACUCUAAACUGUAAAGAAUUAACAUUGCUUGUUCCUAUUCUGUAGUUUAAAAAAAAAAAAAUUACAACUUAUGGUUGUUUUGUCAUGUUACUAAAAUUAAAAGAGAUGAAACCAACAUUUGGAUGAAUGAUAUUCCUUUUAGUUGCUGUUCCUCUUCCACCUCCCUGCUCAUGUACACGCUUAACCUUUCUCUUACCUCUUCUGCUUAAUUAAGGCCCAAUAAUGGGUUCUCUUGCUGACCAUCUUUUCUCUCUUUCAUUCACUCUGUCACGUUGGCUUAUUUCCUUUUCAGUACAAACGCAGGUAAAUGCACUCUUUCAAAUCAAUUGACACUGCUAAUUACACUACAGUAUGUGCAGUUAACAUAGAUUAGCAUCUUACUUUAAAUUGCCAAAUGACCCUAACAACAGGUUUAAACGUCACCCUAGCUAUUUAUUUAAACAUGUUUUAAAUG